GACGAACGCUGGCGGCGUGCUUAACACAUGCAAGUCGAACGGAAAGGCCCUGCUUUUGUGGGGUGCUCGAGUGGCGAACGGGUGAGUAACACGUGAGUAACCUGCCCUUGACUUUGGGAUAACUUCAGGAAACUGGGGCUAAUACCGGAUAGGAGCUCCUGCUGCAUGGUGGGGGUUGGAAAGUUUCGGCGGUUGGGGAUGGACUCGCGGCUUAUCAGCUUGUUGGUGGGGUAGUGGAUUACCAAGGCUUUGACGGGUAGCCGGCCUGAGAGGGUGAACGGCCACAUUGGGACUGAGAUACGGCCCAGACUCCUACGGGAGGCAGCAGUGGGGAAUAUUGCACAAUGGGCGGAAGCCUGAUGCAGCAACGCCGCGUGCGGGAUGACGGCCUUCGGGUUGUAAACCGCUUUCGCCUGUGACGAAGCGUGAGUGACGGUAAUGGGUAAAGAAGCACCGGCUAACUACGUG
rnacentral:rRNA from 1 species